GGGGAACCUGCGGCUGGAUCACCUCCUUUCUAAGGAAGCUGUGGAAUUGGUAAGACGACCUUCCGGCAAGUCUUUGACUUGUCUCGAGGUAUGAACCUUCCCGUGCUUUUUAGAACAUAGAUGGCACCAGUCAGGUGACCAUCGAAACGUAAUACGCCGCGAUGACUUCGGUCACGACGGUAUGGCGAGCUUUCGCCGUCCACGUUUCUCUUUCUUCAAGAAGACAAAAAACCGCGUCGACCGGUUCCCCGAAUGGGCCCGUAGCUCAGUUGGUUAGAGCACACGCUUGAUAAGCGUGGGGUCGGAAGUUCAAGUCUUCCCGGGCCCACCAUUUGCACCAGCAAAUGAAAUUUGCUGUAGCGAAUGAGGGUUAGGGAUGAUGGAAUGUUGGUGAUGCGGAUUGUUGCCGAACCUGGGCUUGUCCUGGGUGAUCGAGCUGGAGGGGCUGUAGCUCAGCUGGGAGAGCACCUGCUUUGCAAGCAGGGGGUCAGCGGUUCGAUCCCGCUCAGCUCCACCAAAUCGAUUGGUGUUGAGACUGACGGCAUUUGUCUUUUGAAGAAAUAAAAGUUUUGCAUUGGCUUACGCUGGUGCGUGUUCUGCAUACAUUGUGAAGAGAAGAUUGAUCUGGAGGCUUCCAGGUGUUGUGGGUUUUGCCCAUGAUGUCCGAGCCCAGUUCCUGUGAAACCAUGGAUGGCCUAGCCGGCCGGAUGUGGUGGAGGAAUUGGAGGUAGGUAGGAAGCUUGUCGCUCUGGAUCGUCAGCGUAAACCGCGUAGCGGUUUAUCGCGUGUUGUUCGUUGCCUUUGGGCAGCGUCUGACGGACGAUCGGAUUACCGUUGCCUGACCGCGCGGUAUCGGAUCCAAUCUCGAGAAGCUGGUCUUAAGACAGGCUGCAAGCGAGCUGCUCGGCGUAGCUCCAAUAAAGCAGACCUGUCGAACACGUUAAUGGCAUUGUUGGAUUGACUGGGUUGUAAAAGGUAACCCGGUCUGUUGCCGUUUCUUAUGGAGCGAGCAACGAGACGAUGAGCAUUGGCAAUGAGAACGAUUAAGUGUCGUAAGGGCAUUUGGUGGAUGCCUUGGCAUGCACAGGCGAUGAAGGACGUGAUACGCUGCGAAAAGCCGUGGGGAGCUGCGAAUGAGCUUUGAUCCAUGGAUCU
rnacentral:misc_RNA from 1 species